AGAGUUUGAUCAUGGCUCAGGACGAACGCUGGCGGCGUGCCUAACACAUGCAAGUCAAGGAAAAAUAUCCCUUCGGGGAUGUGGAAACUGGCGCACGGGUGAGUAACGCGUAGGUCAUCUGCCCUAAACCGGGACAUAACGUCGGGAAACCGGCGCUAAUAUCCCAUGAGGUGCUCGCAUCAAAGCUUCGGCGGUUUAGGAUGAGCCUGCGUCUGAUUAGCUUGUUGGUGAGGUAAAAGCUCACCAAGGCGACGAUCAGUAACUGGUCUGAGAGGACGAUCAGUCACACUGGAACUGAGACACGGUCCAGACUCCUACGGGAGGCAGCAGUGAGGAAUAUUGGUCAAUGGGGGAAACCCUGAACCAGCGACGCCGCGUGUGGGAUGACGGGGUUCUGCCCUGUAAACCACUGUUGAGAGGGAAGAAAUGCGCUUUUUGAGCGCGGGGACUGUACCUCUUCAGAAAGGACCGGCUAGCUACGUGCCAGCAGCCGCGGUAAUACGUAGGGUCCAAGCGUUGUCCGGAAUUACUGGGUGUAAAGGGUGCGUAGGCGGGCUUGUGCGUCAGGGGUUAAAUCCCACAGCUCAACUGUGGAGCUGCCCUUGAUACGGCAAGUCUUGAGUGUGAGAGAGGAUGGUAGAAUUCCUGGUGUAGCGGUGAAAUGCGUAGAUAUCAGGAGGAAUACCAGUGGCGAAGGCGGCCAUCUGGCUCACUACUGACGCUGAGGCACGAAAGCGUGGGGAGCAAACAGGAUUAGAUACCCUAGUAGUCC
rnacentral:rRNA from 1 species